rnacentral:telomerase_RNA from 1 species
CUUCGACUUUCGAGUCACCAGCUCUUUUUAACCCUAACUUUUCUUUUGCUCCUCAUUGCACUUUCUGUUGUUUUUGUGACAAGUUUUCAGGAGAAAGAGGAGUAAGGUGGGUCGGUAAAAAAACUUGUCUUGGUUGGAGCGUACACGUAAAUAUAGCAAUACCUGUUGGAUAAUGAUGUUAUUAAAUUACAGAAAACGACGAUUGGUUUUCGUUUCCAUGUUGUUUAUACUGUGGUUAGACAUUGUUUUCCCGUAGCAGUUUUUGUUGUGUUACAGUGCAUAUUAAUUGCAAGUCUACAACACGCCACUUUUCGAGUGUAGAGCUGGUAAUGUAGCUUUGCUAACAAUU